UUCUUUGUAUGUGAAUAAAUACAAGGAGCUAAAUCCUUGCUUCUUGUGUUGAUAUCAAGAAGAAAAGUGAAAACAGAAGCUUCCUCUCGCACACUCCAAAGACCAGAUCCACUGAGGGCUCUUGAUAAUCUCUCAGAAUCUGAGAGCAAACCUUUUCGAAAGUCACCAGUUCUCCAUCUACCUUUCUUCAUCUCGCCCAUCCCUAAUGAAGUUCACAUGAUGGUUCUUGUAUUCAGGGCUUGCAAUCCACAAUUGAGUUAAAGAUCAUUCAGCUACCUCAUCACUGAUCUUCAGUUGCUUUGUUUUGAAAGGUGUUCUUUGUGGUGGACGUGACUGAUCCAGUUGUGGUUGCAUAUGCGGAUUCCAAAAUGUCUACUGCUUAGUCUCAGUUCAAGGCUCGACUGAAGGAGGAGUGGACGACAACAUACCCACAAAGCCGGUGCACGACCAUAUGUACAACAUGCUUUGGUGGCCUCUAAGGAGAAGAUGAAGGCAGAGAGGAAUGCCCUUAUAAAGGAGUUGUACCAAUACGUAUAUGAGGGUACUCCACUUGAUUCUAUCAAACUGACUCUGGAAGCUAAGUUCCUAAUAUAGUAUGAAGGAACAAAAUGGACAUUUGAAGGCUCAAGUGGAAAGUUUGUUGAGGCAAUAUCCUGGGCAGAUGAGUGAGGAUGACUUCCUCCACCCCAACAGUGGCUUCUAAGACUUGCUUGAGAAUUUUGGGUGAGCAUUUGCUGGACUUUUGGUCUGAUGUCCCUUUUUGUGCAGUUAUAGCUUUUUACCUUGAUUAUGCUACCAUCUAGCGAUACCCAAGAAAAUCUAUUGUGUCCAUUUUGAGUAAUACAGACUGACACAUUACUGGCAUGUACAUUGAAACUUCGGUGGAUUUACUUGAGUUUUGACAUUCUACCUUACUCGAACAGAUGGGACAUCUAAUUUAUUCUUAUUAUCGAUUAGUGUAGGUUAUGAAGCUUUAACUUUUGAUGUACAAAUGAACAAGUUGAUUAUAUAUGAAGCACGUAUGUUUUUCUAAACUUGUUAUAGAUUAGUGUUA